UUGUAUUAAUUGUUUAAUAUUUAAUUUUAUUAUAUUUGUGUAUUUUGAAUAUUUUUAGUUUAAUUUAAUUUUUAUUAUGGAUAAAUUAAGAAACCUCGCUACUAAAGGUGUUAAAAUUUUUUGUCCCGGAAGCGGUAGUGGUAGUAAAAAGCGAAUUACUAGCUGUAGAGGUAGUUCAAGUAGUAGAUAUACCCGUGUGUCUUCGCCUCCGGUACCGCUUGGUACACCUUUUGAGGA
rnacentral:lncRNA from 1 species